rnacentral:rRNA from 1 species
UACAGAGGUCUCAAGCGUUGUUCGGAUUCAUUGGGCGUAAAGGGCGCGUAGGCGGCGGGGUAAGUCGGGUGUGAAAUCUCAGAGCUCAACUCUGAAAUGGCACUUGAUACUGCUCUGCUAGAGGAGUGGAGAGGAGAUUGGAAUUCACGGUGUAGCAGUGAAAUGCGUAGAUAUCGUAAGGAAGACCAGUGGCGAAGGCGGGUCUCUGGACAGUUCCUGACGCUGAGGCACGAAGGCCAGGGGAGCAAACGGG